rnacentral:rRNA from 1 species
AUUGAACGCUGGCGGCAGGCCUAACACAUGCAAGUCGAACGAGUGGCGGACGGGUGAGUAAUGUCUGGGAAACUGCCCGAUGGAGGGGGAUAACUACUGGAAACGGUAGCUAAUACCGCAUACCAUCGGAUGUGCCCCUAUGGGAUUAGCUAGUAGGUGGGGUAACGGCUCACCUAGGCGACGAUCCCUAGCUGGGCUGAGAGGAUGACCAGCCACACUGGAACUGAGACACGUUCCAGACGCCUACGGGAUGCAGCAGUGGGGAAUAUUGCACAAUGGGCGCAAUCCUGAUGCAGCCAGGCCGCGUGUAUGAAGAAGGCCUUCGGGUUGUAAAGUACUUUCAUCGAGGAGGCGGUACUCGCAGAAGAAGCACCGGCUAACUCCGUGCCAGCAGCCGCGGUAAUAC